rnacentral:rRNA from 1 species
AUUGUUCGCUGGCGGCAGGCCUAACACAUGCAAGUCGAGCGGUAGAGAGAAGCUUGCUUCUCUUGAGAGCGGCGGACGGGUGAGUAAUGCCUAGGAAUCUGCCUGGUAGUGGGGGAUAACGUUCGGAAACGGACGCUAAUACCGCAUACGUCCUACGGGAGAAAGCAGGGGACCUUCGGGCCUUGCGCUAUCAGAUGAGCCUAGGUCGGAUUAGCUAGUUGGUGAGGUAAUGGCUCACCAAGGCGACGAUCCGUAACUGGUCUGAGAGGAUGAUCAGUCACACUGGAACUGAGACACGGUCCAGACUCCUACGGGAGGCGGCAGUGGGGAAUAUUGGACAAUGGGCGAAAGCCUGAUCCAGCCAUGCCGCGUGUGUGAAGAAAGUCUUCGGAUUGUAAAGCACUUUUAGUUGGGAAGGAAGGGCAGUAAAAUCAAUACUUUGGCGGUUUUGACGUUUCCCGACAGAAUAAGCCCCCGGCUUACUCUGUGCCAACCACCGCCGGUAUUACAGAGGGUGGCAGCGUUAAUCCGAAAUUCCGGGGCGUUAAGCCGCGCCGAAGGGGGGUUUGGUAAGUUGGAAGGGGAAAACCCCCGGGCUCCACCCGGGGAAACGGCAUUCAAAAAUUGAUUGACUAAAAUUAUGGUAAAGGGGGGGGGGAAAUUUCCCGGGGUAGGGGGGGAAAAGGGGGAGAUUAUGGAAGGGGGCCCCCGGGGGGAAGGGGGGCCCCCCCGGGAAUUAAUAUUGCCCUGAGGGGGCGAAAAGGCUGGGGGGGCAAACCAGGAUUAGGAUCCCCCGGGGAAUUCCCCCCCGUUAAACGAGGUCAAACUACCCGUUGGGAAGCCUGAAGUUUUAAGGGGCGCAGGCUAACGCAAUAAAGUUGACCGCCCGGGGAGGUACGGCCGCCAAGGUUAAAACUCAAAUGAAUUGACGGGGGCCCGCACAAGCGGUGGAGCAUGUGGUUAAUUGAAAGCAACGCGAAGAACCUUACCAGGCCUUGACAUCCAAUGAACUUUCUAGAGAUAGAUUGGUGCCUUCGGGAACAUUGAGACAGGUGCUGCAUGGCUGUCGUCAGCUCGUGUCGUGAGAUGUUGGGUUAAGUCCCGUAACGAGCGCAACCCUUGUCCUUAGUUACCAGCACGUAAUGGUGGGCACUCUAAGGAGACUGCCGGUGACAAACCGGAGGAAGGUGGGGAUGACGUCAAGUCAUCAUGGCCCUUACGGCCUGGGCUACACACGUGCUACAAUGGUCGGUGCAGAGGGUUGCCAAGCCGCGAGGUGGAGCUAAUCCCACAAAACCGAUCGUAGUCCGGAUCGCAGUCUGCAACUCGACUGCGUGAAGUCGGAAUCGCUAGUAAUCGCGAAUCAGAAUGUCGCGGUGAAUACGUUCCCGGGCCU